rnacentral:lncRNA from 1 species
GGGCCACGCCCCCUAACUAGGCAGCCAAUCAGGACGUGGGGUGCUGGUUUCUCCAUUGCGAAGCUUCAGCCUUUGAUGGUUUGGGUCCUGGGAGUCUGACUAUGAAGGCCAACCAGAACAGUGAAUGGGAAGAGGCUUACAUCAACUCAGGCCGAACUGGUUGGUUCGGUGCAUUCGUGGUAAUGAUUGGCUUAGGCAUCAUUUAUGGCUUGGUCCUAUAUUAAUGAAGUCUAGGCAUAGCAACCCAGGGGUCCGCUCCCCAACCGAGCCACUCACCAAACACUAACCAGCCAAGUCAGCCAUCAGGCAAGAAAUUCAACCGCUGAGACAUCUAGCCAAGAAAUCCUCUAACCAAGGAACUCAACAUUCAAGAAACCCACCAACCCAGGAACACACAGACCACCUGCCUGUGCUACUUCAACUCACUCAGCUCCAGAGCUGUCUUCGUUCACCCUAGGGGUCCACACUUCAUGCCCUAGAUCCCUUUAGCUCCUUGACACUGGGCUGUUCUUUCAGAGGAAUUUUAAACCAAAAAACUGGAAUGGAAUGUUCUGGUUUCCUGUGGUGUGUGUGUAUGUGUGUGUGUCA